UACGUAGGUGGCAAGCGUUAUCCGGAAUUAUUGGACGUAAAGCGCGCGUAGGCGGUUUCUUAAGUCUGAUGUGAAAGCCCACGGCUCAACCGUGGAGGGUCAUUGGAAACUGGGAGGCUUGAGUGCAGAAGAGGAAAGUGGAAUUCCAUGUGUAGCGGUGAAAUGCGCAGAGAUAUGGAGGAACACCAGUGGCGAAGGCGACUUUCUGGUCUGUAACUGACGCUGAUGUGCGAAAGCGUGGGGAUCAAACAGG
rnacentral:rRNA from 1 species